CAUCGCCACGGGAAUACGUAGGGCGCAAGCGUUGUCCGGAAUUAUUGGGCGUAAAGAGCUCGUAGGCGGUCUGUCGCGUCUGGUGUGAAAUCCCGAGGCUCAACCUCGGGCUUGCAUCGGGUACGGGCAGACUAGAGUGCGGUAGGGGAGACUGGAAUUCCUGGUGUAGCGGUGGAAUGCGCAGAUAUCAGGAGGAACACCGAUGGCGAAGGCAGGUCUCUGGGCCGCAACUGACGCUGAGGAGCGAAAGCAUGGGGAGCGAACAGGAUUAGAUACCCCUGUAGUCCCUGUCUCUUAUACA
rnacentral:rRNA from 1 species